GUUGGGCUGGGGCCGGGGGAGGGCUUCCUGGAGGUCCUCCAGCAUCAGACGCUGGACCACAGCCUUAGGGGAGACAGAGAGCCCUUCGGUGUUUCUCUUCUCUCCUCCACGUUGCCCCUGUAGCCCUUGUCUUGUCUUUACCCUCCUUCAGGCUCUCAGGCCCUUACUCCAGCCUUACAGAUCCAUGUCUCAAGAUGUGCAGCAAAAAUGGGGGCCCUCCCUUUCCCUCUCUGGUCUGCCUCCCAGAGAGGUUUCAUCCCCCUGAUAGGAAGCACAUGGUGUGUUUUCCAAGACCGACAACCAAUUCUCCAAGUCUCUGCCCCCACUUUACACGCCAGCCGCUGCAGAAUUUUCAGCUGGAUGCACGGUAGUCCAGAAUAACCACUGUAAUGGACUUCCCAGCCUCCCUUGCACUUGUGUGGCUACGUGACCAAGUUCAUCAUGGGAUUGGAGCAAAAGUGCUGUGUGCAACAUUUGGGUCUUAUCCUGAAAGGUGAGGGCAUGCCUGUCCCCUCCUUGUCUCCACCUUGCGACUUGGAACUUGGACAUAGUGACAAGCCACCGUGGAUCAUGAAGAUGAUGGCAGCACCUGAGGAGGGUGGAGGGAGCCGACACAACCUCACUGAGCUGGACCACCUACCCGCUCCCAGCCACCUCCCUCCAGACUGUUACGUGAGAAAUAAACUUGUCUUGUGUAAGUCAGUGCUCUCGGGGUCUCAGAAGUGCAGCUAAACUUCUGUCUGCACUAAUACACAGAGACUGUCCUGGAUUCUGUAAUGCAAGUGAAUAAUACAGUUCUAUUCUACUUGGGAAGAUAAAUGCUUUGAAA
rnacentral:lncRNA from 1 species